CCUACGGGCGGCUGCAGUGGGGAAUAUUGGACAAUGGGCGAAAGCCUGAUCCAGCAAUGCCGCGUGAGUGAUGAAGGCCUUAGGGUUGUAAAGCUCUUUUACCAGGGAUGAUAAUGACAGUACCUGGAGAAUAAGCUCCGGCUAACUCCGUGCCAGCAGCCGCGGUAAUACGGAGGGAGCUAGCGUUGUUCGGAAUUACUGGGCGUAAAGCGCACGUAGGCGGUUUUUCAAGUCAGGGGUGAAAGCCCGGAGCUCAACUCCGGAAUUGCCCUUGAAACUGGAUAACUAGAAUCUUGGAGAGGUCAGUGGAAUUCCGAGUGUAGAGGUGAAAUUCGUAGAUAUUCGGAAGAACACCAGUGGCGAAGGCGACUGACUGGACAAGUAUUGACGCUGAGGUGCGAAAGCGUGGGGAGCAAACAGGAUUAGAUACCCCUGUAGUC
rnacentral:rRNA from 1 species